rnacentral:rRNA from 1 species
CAUGCAAGUCGAACGGAAACAUGUCUAGCUUGCUAGAUGAUGUCGAGUGGCGGACGGGUGAGUAAUGCUUGGGAACUUGCCUUUGCGAGGGGGAUAACAGUUGGAAACGACUGCUAAUACCGCAUAAUGUCUUCGGACCAAACGGGGCUUAGGCUCCGGCGCAAAGAGAGGCCCAAGUGAGAUUAGCUAGUUGGUGAGGUAAAGGCUCACCAAGGCAACGAUCUCUAGCUGUUCUGAGAGGAAGAUCAGCCACACUGGGACUGAGACACGGCCCAGACUCCUACGGGAGGCAGCAGUGGGGAAUAUUGCACAAUGGGGGAAACCCUGAUGCAGCCAUGCCGCGUGUGUGAAGAAGGCCUUCGGGUUGUAAAGCACUUUCAGUUGUGAGGAAAAGUUAGUAGUUAAUACCUGCUAGCCGUGACGUUAACAACAGAAGAAGCACCGGCUAACUCCGUGCCAGCAGCCGCGGUAAUACGGAGGGUGCGAGCGUUAAUCGGAAUUACUGGGCGUAAAGCGCACGCAGGCGGUUUGUUAAGCUAGAUGUGAAAGCCCCGGGCUCAACCUGGGACGGUCAUUUAAAACUGGCAGACUAGAGUCUUGGAGAGGGGAGUGGAAUUCCAGGGUGUACGGGUGAAAAUGCG